rnacentral:rRNA from 1 species
AGACGUCUACAUUAGAUACCCGGGUAGUCCUAGCCGUAAACGAUACUCGCUAGGUGUCGGCCACGGUGCGACCGUUGUCGGUGCCGUAGGGAAGCCGUGAAGCGAGCCACCUGGGAAGUACGGCCGCAAGGCUGAAACUUAAAGGAAUUGGCGGGGGAGCACCACAACGGGUGGAGCUUGCGGUUUAAUUGGAUUCAACGCCGGAAAUCUUACCGGGACCGGCAGCAACAUGAAGGCCAGGCUGAAGACUUUGCCGGAUUAGCUG